GCACAAGCGGUGGAGCAUGUGGUUUAAUUCGAAGCAACGCGAAGAACCUUACCAGGUCUUGACAUCCCUGACAACCCGAGAGAUCGGGCGUUCCCUUCGGGGGACAAGGUGACAGGUGGUGCAUGGUUGUCGUCAGCUCGUGUCGUGAGAUGUUGGGUUAAGUCCCGCAACGAGCGCAACCCUCGACCUUAGUUGCCAGCAUUCAGUUGGGCACUCUAAGGUGACUGCCGGCUAAAAGUCGGAGGAAGGUGGGGAUGACGUCAAAUCAUCAUGCCCCUUAUGACCUGGGCUACACACGUGCUACAAUGGGCGGUACAAAGGGUCGCGAACCCGCGAGGGGGAGCCAAUCCCAAAAAGCCGCUCUCAGUUCGGAUUGCAGGCUGCAACUCGCCUGCAUGAAGUCGGAAUCGCUAGUAAUCGCAGGUCAGCAUACUGCGGUGAAUACGUUCCCGGGCCUU
rnacentral:rRNA from 1 species